rnacentral:rRNA from 1 species
GGGCGCAGCAGGCGCGAAACCUUUACACUGCACGCCAGUGCGAUAAGGGGAUCCCAAGUGCGUAGGCAUAGAGCGUACGCUUUUGUCCACCCUAGGGUGGUGGACGAAUAAGGGCUGGGCAAGACCGGUGCCAGCCGCCGCGGUAAUACCGGCAGCCCAAGUGAUGGCCGAUCUUAUUGGGCCUAAAGCGUCCGUAGCUGGCCGCACAAGUCCAUCGGGAAAUCCACCUGCUCAACAGGUGGCCGUCCGGUGGAAACUGUGUGGCUUGGGACCGGAAGGCGCGACGGGUACGUCCGGGGUAGGAGUGAAAUCCUGUAAUCCUGGACGGACCGCCGAUGGCGAAAGCACGUCGCGAAAACGGAUCCGACAGUGAGGGACGAAAGCUAGGGUCUCGAACCGGAUUAGAUACCCGGGUAGUCCUAGCCGUAAACACUGCCUGCUAGGUGUGGCUCCCACUACGAGUGGG